rnacentral:rRNA from 1 species
GACGAACGCUGGCGGCGUGCCUAAUACAUGCAAGUCGAGCGGACCAAACGGGAGCUUGCUCUUGUUUGGUUAGCGGCGGACGGGUGAGUAACACGUGGGUAACCUGCCCGUAAGACCGGGAUAACUCCGGGAAACCGGAGCUAAUACCGGAUAACACCGAAGACCGCAUGGUCUUUGGUUGAAAGGCGGCUUCGGCUGCCACUUACGGAUGGGCCCGCGGCGCAUUAGCUAGUUGGUGAGGUAACGGCUCACCAAGGCGACGAUGCGUAGCCGGCCUGAGAGGGUGACCGGCCACACUGGGACUGAGACACGGCCCAGACUCCUACGGGGAGGCAGCAGUAGGGGAAUCUUCCGCAAUGGACGAAAGUCUGACGGAGCGACGCCGCGUGAGCGAAGAAGGUCUUCGGAUCGUAAAGCUCUGUUGUUAGGGAAGAAGAAGCGCCGUUCGAAGAGGGCGGCGCGGUGACGGUACCUAACGAGAAAGCCCCGGCUAACUACGUGCCAGCCGCCGCGGUAAU